UUUUGAUUGCGAAUUUUUGUAA
rnacentral:miRNA from 1 species